GCCGGUGUGGCUCAGUGGAUAGAGCAUCGGCCUACGGACUGAAGGGUCCCUGGUUUGAUUCCGGUCACGGGCA
rnacentral:tRNA from 1 species